AACUUCGAUCAACAAUAGUAACUAGAUUUCGGGUCGGUGCAUAAAAUCCGUCUCGUCAAAUAACAGCGCACUUGAAAUGUGAGCUCUUAUUUUGUUUAGUUCACUUCAAACACAGCCAAUGUCAACCCGUCUCACAAUACCGCAGUGUGUAUUCAAAAGUUGCAAAAAUAAGGCCCGAAAAAGCAAUUUAACGGCCGGAGUAUCUUACUUUCGCUUUCCUAGCAAUCACGUGUGCAGAAUGGAUCUCGAUUGUCGCCAGAGAAACAAGAGAUGACUUUUAUAAGCCAGCUAAGAACUCCGCUUAUUGACACUGGACAUCUUUGCCUUCCGUGCUCACGGCUACUGAAAUGUGGCCGAAACAUUAUAAUAAAAAUACCACGCUUGAAACCGUUUAAAA